rnacentral:rRNA from 1 species
CGAUGGAAGCUUGCUUCCAGGCGUCGAGCGGCGGACGGGUGAGUAAUGCAUAGGAAUCUGCCCGAUAGUGGGGGAUAACCUGGGGAAACCCAGGCUAAUACCGCAUACGUCCUACGGGAGAAAGCAGGGGAUCUUCGGACCUUGCGCUAUCGGAUGAGCCUAUGUCGGAUUAGCUAGUUGGUGAGGUAAUGGCUCACCAAGGCCGCGAUCCGUAGCUGGUCUGAGAGGAUGAUCAGCCACAUCGGGACUGAGACACGGCCCGAACUCCUACGGGAGGCAGCAGUGGGGAAUAUUGGACAAUGGGCGAAAGCCUGAUCCAGCCAUGCCGCGUGUGUGAAGAAGGCUUUCGGGUUGUAAAGCACUUUCAGUGGGGAAGAAAUCCUCGGGGCCAAUACCCUCGAGGGAGGACAUCACCCACAGAAGAAGCACCGGCUAACUCCGUGCCAGCGCGGCGGGGAUUUAGCGCUACCAUGCAGUCGA